AGCGAACGCUGGCGGCAGGCCUAAUACAUGCAAGUCGAGCGCACCUUCGGGUGAGCGGCGGACGGGUGAGUAACGCGUGGGAAUGUGCCCUUUGGUACGGAACAACUGAGGGAAACUUCAGCUAAUACCGUAUGUGCCCUUCGGGGGAAAGGAUUUAUCGCCAUUGGAGCAGCCCGCGUUGGAUUAGGUAGUUGGUGAGGUAAAGGCUCACCAAGCCGACGAUCCAUAGCUGGCUGAGAGGAUGAUCAGCCACACUGGGACUGAGACACGGCCCAGACUCCUACGGGAGGCAGCAGUAGGGAAUCUUGCGCAAUGGGGCGAAAGCCUGACGCAGCCAUGCCGCGUGAAUGAUGAAGUCUUAGGAUU
rnacentral:rRNA from 1 species